UACGUAGGGGGCUAGCGUUGUCCGGAAUCAUUGGGCGUAAAGCGCGUGUAGGCGGUCCGGUAAGUCCGCUGUGAAAGUCGAGGGCUCAACCCUCGAAUGCCGGUGGAUACUGUCGGGCUUGAGUACGGGAGAGGCGAGUGGAAUUCCUGGUGUAGCGGUGAAAUGCGCAGAUAUCAGGAGGAACACCGAUUGCGAAGGCAGCUCGCUGGAACGUUACUGACGCUGAGACGCGAAAGCGUGGGGAGCAAGCAGG
rnacentral:rRNA from 1 species